GCGCAUGUGGUGGAAUUGGAAUACACGCUGGUUUCAAAAACCAGCACCGCAAGGUUUGAGGGUUCGAGUCCCUCCAUGCGCACCA
rnacentral:tRNA from 2 species